rnacentral:lncRNA from 1 species
CUAUAUACUGAUUAACUAAAUUUUGUUAAAAUUAUACUUGAUUUCUUUCCAUUAAAAUUUAUUUUUAAAUCCAGAAAAUAUUAAAUCUCAGCCAUUCAGAACCAUUUGCAAAUAAUACCAGGGAAAAAACCCUAGAAAUCCAUUUAUGACAAUGAAUCUCAAAAACCUCUAAAAUUUUGUUCUUUAGGCAACCUGUAAAAUCUCUAGAGUUGUCACAGAUAUUUUAAUUCUUUGAAGCAAGUUAGAAAAGAAAUAGAAAUAUAUGCAGUUUUCAGUGACAGAGGAAAGCUGAGCACUUGUGCUGGUUGCAGGGUAAUCCUGGAGCCAGAGAUUCUGUACAGUUGUAUCAACAAAUCUGUAAUAGCAGUGAUGCUAUAUGUACUUAAAAUAAAUGUGGAAUAAAAAUGGUAAAUACUGAGGAAACCAAAUUUCUCUUUGAAACACAUUACAGGAGGAUAUAUGAAAGGAACUUAGAAAUUCAAAUUUAGUUUGUUAUUAGUGGGAUGUAGUUCUCACUAGAGAAACCAAUUUGUUCAUAAAGAUUACCUCUGUAAAAAGUUAACGGUUCCCACAAUCUUGUUUAUGUUCCAACAGAAAACACAAUGUAUAAACCUAAGAAUUCAUUACUACUAUUAUUAUUAUCAUAUUAAAAAUCUAACUGAAAAA